rnacentral:tRNA from 10 species
GCCCCAGUGGUGGAAUGGUAGACGCGCUGGAUUCAAAAUCCUGUUCCGAAAGGAGUGCCCGUUCGAGUCGGGCCUGGGGCACCA